rnacentral:lncRNA from 1 species
UUUUUUUUUUCUUUUAAUGAGAAAAACCACCGGGAAAAAAGGUAAGCUGCUGUGACUCAACACAGCUCACUGCUGAAAAAGACUUGCCUACCUCCUGCCUAAGAAUGCAGGAGUAUUUUCAGAGUUAAACAAAAACCCAACUAACAAACCAAGGACAGAAAAACAGUAAAUGAAACAUUGAUAUAAAUCUUCAGACCUCUCUUUCCUGUGACAUGUCAAACCUCAUCAUCUGCUUUUCUAUAUGAAUAAUCUGCAAUCCCAGCCUGUCUUCUACAUUUUCAUGGGAGGAAAAAGUCAUUAACAAAAAUCAACUUCAAGGUUAAGAGGAAGCAGCUCUAGCAAAAGUAAAGUGAAUCGUAUAUUUCAGUCACCAGCUAGAACAAUGUGCUGCUCCUGGAAUGCAUAUGCAAGCCUGUUUCAAAGCUCAAACAGGGAUGAAGCAGACACAUGUCACAGACCACAGGACAGCAGACUGUGUACUUCCCUAAACAGCCUCAGCAUUGGGAAGAUCGAGACACAUAUCUUAGAGCCCUCGCAACCAGCGCAGGACAAGCAGAGCUACCUAAAUACAGAGUGCUGACAAAGAGCCUGGGCAGAGGAGAAGACGUGGGAGAAGGAAAGAUAAAAUAGUAAAGAGAAAACAAGCACCCAAUAUAAAAACUAGUGAUUUUCUUGUGGCUAUAGAGCCUUAGAAGAGGGGUCAAGCGGAGUAGUAAAUCACUGUAAAUGGUGAAAGGCCUAUAAAUAUUGAGGGCUGUGGAAAGAACAAUUUGUUGCCUUACAAGCAGCCGAUGAGUCUCUAUGCUGAGCCACUCCACUAGAAAAAGGGUUUCUGAAGUCAGAACUAUCAGUAGUCAUGUUUACUUUUAACUACGAGAUGCAAAAAAUCAUCAGAAAAGCUGCUUUUAGUAUUGGAAUGAAAGCAAAGAUACUUGCUAUUUGCAACCCAUGUUCAAAAUCACAGCCACAGUGAUUUUCCAACUAGCUGGUAAGAGGGAAACAUCAGAUUCUUGUAGCAGUCAAAGUUAUUUUCUCUUUUAUACAUUAGGCUCCUGAUAUUCUGGUGUUCAUGUUGAUUUACAAAAUGAGGAAGAACUGAAGUAACAGAACAGAAACUGAAGGUUUCUGCAUGCACACAGAAACCUACAUACUGUAUCUAAAUUUUCAGCAGUUUCAUGAUUUACUAUAUGUUCCCCAAAACUAUA